UACGAAGGGUGCUAGCGUUGUUCGGAAUUACUGGGCGUAAAGCGUGUGUAGGUGGUCAUCUCAGCCAGUGGUGAAAUCCCGGAGCUUAACUCCGGAAUUGCCAUUGGUACUGGAUGGCUAGAGUCUGUUAGAGGAUAGUGGAAUUUCCAGUGUAGCGGUGAAAUGCGUAGAUAUCGGGAGGAACACCAGUGGCGAAGGCGACUACCUGGCCUGUUCUUGACGCUGAGGCGCGAAAGCUAGGGGAGCAAACGGG
rnacentral:rRNA from 1 species